AGCCGUGUUUAUGGAAUUUAGAUUAAAAUUGAUAGGCUUGAUUAGGAUUUAAUUUAGAUCUGAAAAAUUUAUAUGCUUGCUGAAAUUUCUGCGUGCUGAAAUUUCAGAUUUCAGCAUGCAGAUUUUUGUUUAGAAAAUCUAGAUCUUGCAUGUUUAAUUUUAAUUGCAAUGAAAUUGCAAUAAUUAAAAUCAUAUCUUGCAUGAUCAGAAUUUCAGUUGAUGGCAUAUUUAAUUAAAAUUUCCAGAUCUGAAAUUACAUAAGAAGUAUGUGAUAAGAUUCAAUCAAAGAUUCAUGAUCAUAAAAGAUAAAUUUCUAUUUAUGCCUAGGCUUAAAAAGAAAUUGAUAUUUGCAUGAUAUGCAUAAGAUAUGAUCAAAUCAUAGAAUCAUGUUUAUUAACGGAUAAUUUUGUUUAGGAUUGUGCUUAAAAAGAAAAUUAAUAUAUGCGUGAGAUGUAUAUAUAUGUUAAGCAAUGUUUACAUGGGAUGUAAAUAAAACCCAAAUAGGUUAGGUCAUUUACAUAAGAUGUAAAUGACAUAUUUGUUUAGGUUUAUAUCUUAUGUGAACAUGAAACUCUUUCAUAUGUUAUGUGUUUACAUCUCAUGUAAGAUGUAAAUGCAUAACAUAUGAAAGGAGUUUCAUAUUUACAUAAGAUGUAAACCCUAAUCGAAACCUAAAUCGAUUAAAACCUCCUCAAUCAGUCGAGAGUGAAUGAUAUAUUGAGCUAGCCAUAUUUGAUUAAUUGUUCUAAUUGGUGUCUAGGAAAACAUUAAAGGUGGUUACUUAAUUAGGACCUUACUCUCUGAGUAAGGAGAGCCUCCCACCUGCUUACCUGGUCAAUUGAUCGAUUAUCACCUAUGAAGAGCUCAAAGUUGGAAUCACUAAGACUAGAUUACCUAAUAUCAAGUCUAGAGGUCUUCCACCAUAGUAGAGCUGCUAAGGUCUUUCCGGCGUUGAUUUUGUUAGAAGUAUGCCCUAGAAGCCAACGUGGCUGAUGCAUAUUUGUAAUCUGGGGCAUAAAUUUGUAAUUUGACUCUUAUUAAUAAAUAAGAUUGGACAAUUUGUUUUUCAUUCAUGUUUUAUAUGUGUCCAUGAAUCGUCCAAGAAAUUAAUAGAUGAUGACACAUAUUCUUAAAGGAGUUGAGAAUUUGAGGCAUGUGUCAUUAGGGAUUAAUUUCUAAAUGCUCCUGAUCGAUGGAUCCAUCACGAGGAACGGUGAUCGAUCCGCUGAGAUUAGUACACAGAUCACUUAGUCAGAUGGACGAGUCUCGAGUCCAUGGUGUAGGGACACUAGAGUGAUUAUGCAAGUACUUGUUAGAGAACAAAGUACUGAGCAUGACCAAAGAUAGUAGUCACAUGGAUGUCUAUCCACUCGUCAGUGACUACUUAUGCUGCAGUUGUAUGACUGGUCCUUUGACCUGUGAUGCCUCAGCUAUUCACUAUGAGGUUGGUGUAGUUUGACGAGCAUGUGAACUUAGGCCCUAGCCAUUCGGGUCCUUGUAGUGCGGAUUGGCUACAGUAGGUUUAUUUUGGAAUAGGGUUGCAUCUAGAUGGGAUCUAUCGAUCUUAAUAGAUUAGGAGUGAUCCUAUGUGAUUUAUGAGACUGAGUUCGAUAAAUUCUUGGCCAGAUAUUUUGGAAAAAGAGUUUUAUAUAUCUCAAACUGGAAGUCGUAUAAAUUUGACAUAUGACGGACGAUGGGGUUUGACGAGAUAUCUAUAACCUCCAUCACAUCGGAUUUCAUGAUAGAGAGACUGUAUCAUACGCUAACUGCACCUAGAGGUUCAGACAUUCCAUUCUGCUGGGUUGCCACCAUAUACUGCUAGGUAUCACUAGUGGAUUGUGAGACUCGAAGGCAUUUACUUGGUGAAUAGUAAACCCUGAGAGUAGAACUGAAAUCAUUUCAGUCCACUGAAAGAAGUUUCAAUGAUAUUGAGAUGGAGAUCUUAAUAUGUCUCACUACCAGUCAGAAUAGAACCUACGGGGUCACACACAUAGAGAAUUUAAUUAGUCAGACUAUCAUAAUUAUGAUUUGGAAUCACAAUAGAAAUCAAUCAUCGAUAUGAUUGGUGAUUGAAUUAACCCACUAAGUGUUAGUAAGUUAAUGAAAGAAGAAUUAAGUGGAAUUGAUUGCAAUUGGAUUGCAAUUGGGCUGAUUUAAUGAGCCAAAUCAAAUUGGGUUCGGCCCAAAUUGAUUUGGGUUCAUGAUUGGGUCAAUUUGAUUAAACCAAGAUUUAUGCGGAUUUUAAAGACCAUAUAUCAUCGUAGGAUGAAUAUGACUUAAGUCAUGUUCACACUAUGCGAACUUUAAAGUCCACAUGGCGUCGUAGGAUGCAUGCUCUCUGAUGAGAGCACAAAAGUGCGAUCUAAGUACCAAUUAACUUAGCCUAAUGCUAGCAAAAUAAUGAUAAAUACUAGGUGUUAACAUUUGCAUGAUUAAUAUUUUAUCUUUAGCACUUAUUAUAAUUUUUAUCAUUAUUCUGUAUAAAUUCAUCUAAAAAGGAUGCAUCUUCCCAACUGCAGAACAGAGUCCAUGACUCUUCUUCUGCGCACCCGAGCGACUUUCCAAAUUUCGUGAUGCAACUCAAGCUUCCAGCCAUCUGCAGUCAAUUGACUUUGUGAUUCCAAAUCAGCAUCAUCCCAAGCGCCAGCAUCAGUUGUUUUUUCAUCUGCACCGUCCACGUCUGCCUCUUCCAAGCUUCAAUCCCGCAUCCAUCCGCUUCUCCUGCACCAUCACAGCAUCUGUGAAGCGUGCCAAGCCGUCCACGAUCAUCCCCAUUCCAUGCGCCUCCCAUGCUUCAGCCCGUGAUCACCCCCCAACAUCAGCGAUCUUCCGGAGUCUCAGAUCCACGGCGUCCGAGCAUCUUCUCCUACGAGCAAUCUUCCGUGAUCAUCCAGCGAUCAUCUCCUAGCCGUCCGCCUCCUCCAUCACGUCCGUUC
rnacentral:lncRNA from 1 species